rnacentral:rRNA from 1 species
CCUACGGGAGGCAGCAGUGGGGAAUUUUGGACAAUGGGGGGAACCCUGAUCCAGCAACGCCGCGUGAGUGAAGAAGUAUUUCGGUAUGUAAAGCUCUAUCAGCAGGGAAGAAAGUGACGUUACCUGACUAAGAAGCACCAGCUAACUACGUGCCAGCAGCCACGGUAAGACGUAGGAGGCAAGCGUUAUCCGGAUUUACUGGGGGUAAAGGGAGCGUGGACGGUGAAGAUAGUCUGAUGUGAAAGGUCCGGGCCCAACCCCGGGCCUGCAUUGGAAACUGUUGAACUGGAGUACAGGAGAGGUAAGCGGAAUUACUAGUGUAGCGGUGAAAUGCGUAGAUAUUAGGAGGAACACCAGUGGCGAAGGCGGCUUACUGGACUGUAACUGACGUUGAGGCUCGAAAGCGUGGGGAGCAAACAGGAUUAGAUACCCCGGUAGUC